UGUGAAAUGCUUAGAAGUGUUUUGCC
rnacentral:piRNA from 1 species